rnacentral:rRNA from 1 species
UACGGAGGGGGCUAGCGUUGUUCGGAAUUACUGGGCGUAAAGCGCACGUAGGUGGCCACUUAAGUCAGACGUGAAAUCCCUCAGCUUAACUGGGGAACUGCGUCUGAUACUGAGUGGCUUGAGUGCAGGAGAGGAAUGCGGAAUUCCAGGUGUAGCGGUGAAAUGCGUAGAGAUCCGGAGGAACCCCAGAGGCGAAGGCGGCGUCCUGGCUCGCAUCUAACGCUCAGACACGACAGCAUGGGGAGCGAACGGG